UACGAAGGGGGCUAGCGUUGUUCGGAUUUACUGGGCGUAAAGCGCACGUAGGCGGAUGGUUAAGUCAGGGGUGAAAUCCCGCAGCUCAACUGCGGAACUGCCUUUGAUACUGGCCAUCUUGAGUCCGGAAGAGGUGAGUGGAACUCCGAGUGUAGAGGUGGAAUUCGUAGAUAUUCGGAAGAACACCAGUGGCGAAGGCGGCUCACUGGUCCGGUACUGACGCUGAGGUGCGAAAGCGUGGGGAGCAAACAGG
rnacentral:rRNA from 1 species